rnacentral:rRNA from 1 species
AUUGAACGCUGGCGGCAUGCUUUACACAUGCAAGUCGAACGGCAGCACGGGCUUCGGCCUGGUGGCGAGUGGCGAACGGGUGAGUAAUAUAUCGGAACGUACCCAGAAGUGGGGGAUAACGUAGCGAAAGUUACGCUAAUACCGCAUACGAUCUAUGGAUGAAAGCAGGGGACCGCAAGGCCUUGUGCUCCUGGAGCGGCCGAUAUCUGAUUAGCUAGUCGGUGAGGUAAAGGCUCACCAAGGCGACGAUCAGUAGCUGGUCUGAGAGGACGACCAGCCACACUGGAACUGAGACACGGUCCAGACUCCUACGGGAGGCAGCAGUGGGGAAUUUUGGACAAUGGGCGCAAGCCUGAUCCAGCAAUGCCGCGUGAGUGAAGAAGGCCUUCGGGUUGUAAAGCUCUUUUGUCAGGGAAGAAACGGUAGAGGCUAAUAUCCUUUGCUAAUGACGGUACCUGAAGAAUAAGCACCGGCUAACUACGUG